GCGCCGCCCAGCGAGGCAGGGCAGCGCGGCGGGACGCGUCAGGGCCCCAAGGGACAGGAAGAAGGGGCGGAGGGGGCAGUAGACGGCCUUGACACUGGGGAACUGAGCGGAGACCCGCGGCCAGCAGGGGCUGCAGGAGGCCGCCCAGGAAGAGGAAGCUGUGAGAAGUGAGAAGAGGCGAUAAAGGAAGAGGGCAGAGCUGGCCCGCUGCUGUGACCGGGUAGCACCGUGGAAAGCGCCCAUGCCCAGCUCCAUGGCUCGCUGUGGGUGACCCUGUGCACUAAGCUUCUGAGAACCCAUGUCCGGACCUGUAAAGUGAGGAUACACUAAUAUCAGCCUGCAGAAUUGUUAAUAGGUUGAAAGAACUCGCUUGUGUUUGCUGGCCUCCCCUGAGCGCCUGCAUACAGUAGGUGCCCAGUAGAUGUUAGCCCACUUCUCUGCAGGCUUCUUGAUGUCCUGUGAAAUCUUGGCUGGGACCCUGCUUUGUCUGAGGUGCCUUCCUGCUUUGCAGGUAGUGGGAAACGGUAAGGUCUUUACCACACCCUCACUACUGAGAUUUGGCUAAUUAUCCCGGAUAGGUCCCUGAUAUCUAAGUAUUAAGGGGAAAGUAAGCUAUCAUUUACUCUGAUGCUGUUGUGAGUAUGUAAACAUCUCCUGUAAUUAUGCUCAGAAGCAGUUACCUAUACUGUUUAUAUGCAGUAUAAUUACUAUAAUUAUGUCCAGAUUUGGCAGAGGGGCAGGGGGAGGCUGAUGGGUAGGCAGGGUGGCCCACCUCUGGGCAAUGUUAGGAGCUAGAGAGUAUGGAUGAAAGCCCAGAACCCUCCUCCCAGUCUUGGCCUCUGGGUUUCACCCUCUACAGAGGAAGAAGAGGAAGCCACCUGUUGUUUCUGCAGGGCUCAGAGAUCUGGAAAGGAGCAGACUAGAAUCUUCUUUGAUGACAGGAGAUCCCUAACCAGGAUGGUGAAGCCAGGUCCUGCCACUCUCCACAUCAGUUUCCC
rnacentral:lncRNA from 1 species